ensembl:lncRNA
AUGUAGAUAUUCCAUUCAAAAUCAGCCAUUUCCAGCUACAAUAGUCAUUUACAACACUAACAAUGUGUACACUCUAUUUCUGAUCAAUUUGAUGUUAUUUUAAUGGUCCAAAAAAUAUGCUUUUCUUUCAAAAACAAGAACAUUUUUAAGUGACCUCAAACUUUUGAACGACAGUGUAUGUAUAUACUGUAUUUUAUACCAUAUACUGCAUCUUGCCUGUGCCGCUCAGUCAUCGCUCAUCCAUAUAUUUAUAUGUACAUAUUCUUAUUCAUUCCUUUAACCUUGUGUGUAUUAGGUAGUUGUUGUGGAAUUGUUAGAUUACUUGUUAGAUAUUACUGCGCUGUCGGAACUAGAAGCACAAGCAUUUCGCUACACUCGCAUUAAAAUCUGCUAAUCAUGUGUAUGUGACCAAUACAAUUUGUAUUGAUGAUUUUAUUUGAAAGAUGAUACCUGAGUUUCUCACUUGAAAAUGAUCCGAAUUAACCAAUUGGAAGCUCUUUGCAAAUAACUUACAUUCAUUUUAAUGGGAAAUGUAGGACAUCUUAAUUGGGCAUGGGACACAAGCUACGGCUUGAUCACCCUUUAGCCGGCCACCUUUGAUGAGUGUGUUUAGUGAUUAAAGGCCGAAACACCCACUGAUUCGAAGGCACACUACUGAGGAUGUGUCCCAAAAUGUACAUCUUAACCCAGUCUAAGAAAUAAACCUCCCAUGCCACUCUGUCAACAUCACGGCAAAUCUCAUGUGAGUGCAUACCAUCUAUUGGCACAAUGGACAGUUUUUAACAUCUCAUCCCGUGUUUUAUGAUUCUGAUUCUAGUUCCCCCCCGUUGUCAUGAAUGCAGGAUCCUGUCUAUCCAUGAAGAAACAGUUGACAUACUAUAAGGGUACAAGUCCCAUGUUGAAACCAUUGCUUUACUUUACCAAGAGUACCUGGUCCUUGAUGUUGAUACUAUACACCAUGUACUGUAGGCUACGGUAUGCUAUGUACUGUAGGCUACGGUAUGUUAUGUAGGCUAUGAUAUGUACUGUAGACUACGAUAUGUACUGUAGGCUACGAUAUGUACUGUAAGGCUACGGUAUGUUAUGUACUGUAGGCUAUGGUAUGUUAUGUACUGUAGGCUACGGUUUGUUAUGUAGCCUACGAUAUGUACUGUGGGCUACGGUUUGUUAUGUAGCCUACGAUAUGUACUGUGGACUACGAUAUGUACUGUAGGCUACGGUAUGUUAUGUACUGUAGGCUACGGUAUGUUAUGUACUGUAGGCUACGGUAUGUUAUGUACUGUAGGCUACGGUAUGUUAUGU